UUGUAGUCUUCGGAGUCUUCCUGGUUAGCUGUGAAGCUUUGGCCAGAGGACUGUGUUUGUGCAGGCCUUUAGAUUAGCCCAGAAGUCUUUGAUUGACAGCUGCUGCCUGCAAGUUUUGGGACCUCCGUACUGCCAACCUGACCCAGACUCUGGAGACUUCCACCAGGUCUCUCUGGGCAGCAUCAGGGGGCAAUGUCAGUGAGUGGAGUAAAAAGACUACAGAGAAAGAAACGUUUUGCCUUCCUGCUUCGGUGAAAGUAGAUCUGGAGAGCAAACCACUCCCCCAGAAAGAACGAUUCCAAACCCAAGUGAUUGCGUCCAAUUCUAAAUCAAACCCGGAGCCAUCAGGGGAGUGAAAUUAAGGGACCCAAGAAAAAGAGGAUGACAGAGAAGAUUUUGUAUGCAAAUCAAUCUCCUCCACCCAUUGGAAACAACCUGCUGUGAACUGGGCUAGAACACAUAGGCCAUUAUUACCUUGUUAGGCUGUCAGAACCCAAGGAAUUUAACUAGGUGAUAAUGGGAAGAAAAUGUCUUAGACCUUUUUAAACUCAUUCCCUACUUCUUAGUAUUCCAGUCCAGCACCCCAGUCCUUCAGGCAAGGGUGAGAAUUCCAGAAAGAGACUCACAAGGAAGAAGAAACUUGGGAGUUCUCAGUCUGCAAAGAAUUCACCUCUUAGAUUCCAGGAAAGCAUUAUAAGGACUCCUCACUUUCUUCUCCUUUGUAUAUUUCUUUGACUUUUACUCUAAGCAUUAUAAGAUCCUAAGGAUAAGGUGGCAAACUCUGAAGUGAUUAAGUCAUAAUCUUCAUAUAAGGCAAAUACCUUCAACAAAGAUACAUUGCUUUCAUCACACGUGUAUCAGUAGGUAACCCUCCUUAAUGCCCUGAGGAUUGUGAUAAUAAUUCUGGAA